GGGCAGCCACUUCAGAAGCAGCAGGGGGCACAGAGCUGUUAUUUUUUAACCAUGUGGUGUAUUUCUUUGAUUUUUAAAAAGUCGAGACAAUUUUAAAUAAAAUCUUUCUUCUAAUUGCAGCAUUUACCCUCCCAUUCCAGGAGAGGAGAGCUCUCUGAGGUGGGCAGGAAAGAAAUUUGAGGAGAUCCCAAUCGCACACAUUAAAGCAUCCCACAACAACACACAGAUCCAGGUAGUCUCUGCUAGUAAUGAGCCCCUUGCCUUUGCUUCCUGUGGCACAGAGGGAUUUCGGAAUGCCAAGAAGGGCACAGGCAUCGCAGCACAGACAGCAGGCAUAGCCGCAGCGGCGUCUGCCAUGCACGGACUGAUCAUGGGCGGCCUGGAAGUGAUCUCAAUCACAGACAACACCCCAAUCCCACACAAUGGAUGUCGUCCCAGGAAGGCUCGGAAGCUGUGAUGGGAAGGAAGCCUGCACUUGGUCCUGACCUCAAGCCUCAGCUCCAGUGGGACCUUGUAAAAUGCUCCCUGUCAGAGCUCUCCAGAAUAUGCUUGUUGGAGAUCCUUCAGGCAGUAAGGGAGAGUUUUGCCUCCUUACACAGUGGCCUUUGCUUGCACCUCCAGCUGGAGAUGGGUGUGCCCCAGAAGUAAGCUUUGCAUCUCACAAGAGGGGAGCUACAGGGGCAGCCGUGGCCUAGGCCCAAACUCUGCUCUGAGAAAAUAAAUAUCUGUACCAUCUGUCAUAA
rnacentral:sRNA from 1 species